rfam:Tuber melanosporum whole genome shotgun sequence assembly, scaffold_89, strain Mel28
GGGCGCAUGGUUUAGGGGUAUAAUAUCUCAUUUGCAAUGAUCUGAUCAUAACUUGAGAUGGUCCUGGGUUCGAUUCCCAGUACGUCCA